AUUGCUUUGCUUUAGGUUGGUUGGGCCGCAUUGAUGCUGCACCAAACAAAAGUCUGUUCCUCACCAAGACUAAAACUCUCGGAUGGGAGGAGAUAUUUGGCUUACCAAGAGAUGCCGUCUACAAAACCAUUAUCACUCAUGGCUUUGAUACUUCCAAACACUUGUAUUUACCUAUUUCAAAACUAUUCUAAAUCCCUCCUUCAAUUUCACUCCAACUUUCAAUUUGUAAAAUAUUCUUUCAUUUUUAUUCUCAUCGGUCCGGAUCUUAAGCUCACCCCUUAUUCAAUUCACCCGAGCUCAC
rnacentral:lncRNA from 1 species